rnacentral:rRNA from 1 species
CACGUAGGGGGCGAGCGUUGUCCGGAUUUACUGGGCGUAAAGCGCGUUCAGGCGGUUUGGCAAGUCGGGCAUGAAAUCUCUCGGCUCAACCGGGAGAGGUUGUCCGAUACUUCCAGACUUGAGGGCAGUAGAGGGUGGUGGAAUUCCGGGUGUAGUGGUGAAAUGCGUAGAUAUCCGGAGGAACACCAGUGGCGAAAGCGGCCACCUGGACUGCACCUGACGCUGACACGCGAAAGCUAGGGGAGCGAACGGG